rnacentral:tRNA from 1 species
UCCCUGGUGGCUCAGAUGGUAAAGCGUCUGUCUACAAUGCAGGAGACCCGGGUUCGAACCCUGGAUUGGGAA